AUGGGAUGCUGGAGGGGAGACGCACUCUGUCGGGGAAUGGGGGCUUAUAUGUGGCUGUGGGGUGUCAAGACAAAUAAUCCGGGUGCUUAUUUCUUUCAGUUAUUUAUCAUUUACCUCACGUGUGUUUCUUUAGGGUCAGGUUGCUCCCUGGUGAAAGCAACAACUGCCUUUAUCAAGGAGGUUAAAAUGCAAACCGUGUGCGUGCGUGCGUGUGUGUGUGAAGUCAGGAGGUCAAGUAUCGUUAACAGCUGCUCCUUUGAGAGUGGAAGUGGAAUUUAUGGAUUCAUCCUGCAACACAGGCCAAAUGUGUGGACUUCCAAUAUCUUUAGGACUAGCAGGGCAUUAGGAGUGAGAACCCUGGAAACAGAAGGAGGGAACUACUGGAACUUCUUGCACUCUGUCCUCUGAUCUGACAGUCCUCGGCUGGGUUUGUACCAAAAGGCAAGUUCAAGAGCGCUCAAAGCAGCCUAUUUCCAACUGGGAUGGGAGCAAGCCACAUGCCGUUGGUGGGGCAGGACCAAGGCCACCUCCAGCGAGUUCCAGAGGGUUCUGCUCUGCACAACCUUGACGGCCAGCACCACCGGGCUGGGUGGCAGUGGUGAGGACAGCCCGGUGUCUGGGGGAUCACUGGAAGGGGGACAAAGGAGCCUCUGGGGUAAUGCAUGUAUUCUGGCUCUUGGUCUGGGGUGUCAUUAUAAUUCUCAGGCUGAACAUGGAAAAAGUGUGGGUUUUUUCUGCAGUGCUGGGAUGGAACCCAAGUAUGCUACAUUGUGGAGAUCAGAUGGGAAGAAUGAGGCCUAACUGGCCUCCUCGGCAAGCUCGGAGAAGAGGGCAUGCAAGCUGCUAACACGCUGCAGGGAAAAGUAAAAACACCUGAGGUUAAGUUGUUUAUCAGAGAAGUACCACGGAGGGAGGGAGGCAGAUGAGUCCUGUGGAACCCUAAUUGCUCGUGUCCGUGUCUGGGUGAAUAAAGCCAAGGGGCGCCAGUCACUUGGGGCUCUAUGUUGGAGAAAGACAUGAGCCCCUGGCCCCCCAGAUUUUUAACCUGUUUCUGUGUCUCUUUAUUUUUCAUCUUUGUCACCCCUUGGUCAGGUUCAAGUUCAGCUUGUAGGCAGGUUCCUACAUUACACUACCAGCUCAUUGAUUUUUUUAUUUCUAGACAGGAUCUUGCUACAUAGCACAGGCAAGAUUCAAAUUUGCAGUCCUCCUGCCUCAGCCUCCCUCACUGCUGGGAUUGCAGGCAUGCACCUCUGCACUCAGAUUUAAAUGUGUGCACUUUAAUAUUUUAAUUU
rnacentral:lncRNA from 1 species